UACGUAGGGACCAAGCGUUGUUCGGAUUUACUGGGCGUAAAGGGCGCGUAGGCGGCAGAUCAAUCAGCUGUGAAAUCUCCGAGCUUAACUCGGAACGGUCAGCUGAUACUGUUUUGCUAGAGUACAGAAGGGGCAAUCGGAAUUCUUGGUGUAGCGGUGAAAUGCGUAGAUAUCAAGAGGAACACCUGAGGUGAAGACGGGUUGCUGGGCUGAUACUGACGCUGAGGCGCGAAAGCUAGGGUAGCAAACGGG
rnacentral:rRNA from 1 species